rnacentral:rRNA from 1 species
GAUGAACGCUGGCGGCGUGCCUAAUACAUGCAAGUCGAGCGAACGGACGAGAAGCUUGCUUCUCUGAUGUUAGCGGCGGACGGGUGAGUAACACGUGGAUAACCUACCUAUAAGACUGGGAUAACUUCUGGAAACCGGAGCUAAUACCGGAUAAUAUUUUGAACCGCAUGGUUCAAAAGUUAAAGACGGUCUUGCUGUUACUUAUAGAUGGAUCCGCGCUGCAUUAGCUAGUUGGUAAGGUAACGGCUUACCAAGGCAACGAUGCAUAGCCGACCUGAGAGGGUGAUCGGCCACACUGAAACUGAGACACGGUCCAGACUCCUACGGGAGGCAGAAGUAGGGAAUCUUCAGCAAUGGGCGAAAGCCUGACGGAGCAACGCCGCGUGAGUGAUGAAGGUCUUCGGAUCGUAAAACUCUGUUAUUAGGGAAGAACAUAUGUGUAAGUAACUGUGCACAUCUUGACGGUACCUAAUCAGAAAGCCACGGCUAACUACGUG